rnacentral:rRNA from 1 species
GACGAACGCUGGCGGCGUGCUUAACACAUGCAAGUCGAACGGAAAGGCCCUGCUUUUGUGGGGUGCUCGAGUGGCGAACGGGUGAGUAACACGUGAGUAACCUGCCCUUUACUUUGGGAUAACUUCAGGUAACUGGGGCUAAUACCGGAUAGGAGCUCCUGCUGCAUGGUGGGGGUUGGAAAGUUUCGGCGGUUGGGGAUGGACUCGCGGCUUAUCAGCUUGUUGGUGGGGUAGUGGCUUACCAAGGCUUUGACGGGUAGCCGGCCUGAGAGGGUGACCGGCCACAUUGGGACUGAGAUACGGCACAGACUCCUACGGGAGGCAGCAGUGGGGAAUAUUGCACAAUGGGCGGAAGCCUGAUGCAGCAACGCCGCGUGCGGGAUGACGGCCUUCGGGUUGUAAACCGCUUUCGCCUGUGACGAAGCGUGAGUGACGGUAAUGGGUAAAGAAGCACCGGCUAACUACGUG